GAGUUUGAAAGGCUCCAGGUGGGGAGGAGGUGAAGCAGGAGCAGCUGGAAAUGGAGCCAGACAGGUUCCCAGCUGCAGCCAGUUGGGCCAUCAGUGGCUUAACGAAACCCUUAUAAAGUGUUUCCUUCCCGCUGACCCACCUCCCCCCCACCUCCAGCCCCCAACUACCUCAUGGAAGGGCUGGUGUUAAGGAACUUGGACCCCAGCAGCAAAAGUUGGAUCCACUGGGCUGCCAUCAAGCAUGGCUUUGGCCAAGCUGUGCCAUGUCUGCACCUGGGAUCUGAACCGGCGAACCCCAGGCUGCCGAGAAGUGGAAUGUGGGAACUUAACUUCUGCGCCACAGGGCUGGCCCCCCCUUAUUCAUCUUGAAGUCCUCCGGCUAUGCCUCCAACAAAAGUAGGUGGAAAUGUUAAUAGCCAGCACGAGUCACUUUCUCUCUUUUCCUGACUAAGUGGCCAUGGAAGCAAGAGUUAUGGUGGAGCCUCCCUCAGCCUGAGCUUCUCUGUGACUACAACAAGCAGAGCCCCUGCCACCCCACGGUGGACAUGGACUGUGAGCUGGAAACAAACCAUUGUUGGAUAAAGCCACUGGGGCAAAAUAUCAAUAUUUUUUUUUAAAUACAUGUAUACAACACAAUUGAGAGGUGCUAAUUACAUGACAGUGAUUUUCCUUAUAAACCCAGAUUUUUUUGUUCCACACAAAUAGCCUAUUGUUGAACAUGAAAAGGCUUUAGAAUCCUCCUCCUAUGCUACCAGAUAAUUAUGGCUUUGAGGAUUCUGUGACUAUACAUAUUUUUUAAAAAGCCUGUUUUGCCUCAUAUAUGCCACAAAGCCAUGAUGUGAGACAGUGUAAGUUUCCCCUGCUUUCUUCAUUUUUCAAACCUCAU
rnacentral:lncRNA from 1 species